rnacentral:rRNA from 1 species
GGAGGAUCCAAGCGUUAUCCGGAUUUAUUGGGUUUAAAGGGUGCGUAGGCGGCAGAUUAAGUUAGAGGUGAAAUUCCGAGGCUCAACCUUGGCACUGCCUCUGAUACUGGUUUGCUAGCGAGUAGAUGCUGUAGGCGGAAUGUGUGGUGUAGCGGUGAAAUGCAUAGAGAUCACACAGAACACCGAUUGCGAAGGCAGCUUACAAAUCUAUAUCGGACGCUGAGGCACGAAAGCGUGGGGAGCAAACAGGAUUAGAUACCCUGGUAGUCCACGCAGUAAACGAUGAUAACUCGUUGUCGGCGAUAUACAGUCGGUGACCAAGCGAAAGCGAUAAGUUAUCCACCUGGGGAGUACGUUCGCAAGAAUG